rnacentral:tRNA from 1 species
GUAGAGGAGAGCGGCGGACUCAUAAUCCGUCGGCCGUGGGUUCGAGUCCCACC